GGGAGAAGCCGACUUCCCGCCGAGCAGGAAGCCCGAUGUGGCUCAAUCCCAGGACUCCGGACCAUGACCCAUGACCCGAGCCAAAGGCAGAUGCUUAACAACUGAGCCACCCAGGUGCCCCUUUGCAUGCCUGCCUUGUAUUCAAGGUGAGAGAUGCUGCAGGCCUCAAUGAGGGAAGUUGUGGUAGGGAUGGUGAGAAAGGAAUGGUUUCUUCUAGAAAAUGUAGGAGUAAAAUCAUUAGAACUAAGUGACUGGAUUUUGGGGGCAAGGAUAAAGGAAGAGGCUCAGAUUGCUCUUAGAUUUCUGCCUGGUAAUCAGGUAGAUUAGUAGCACCGUUAAUUGAGACUAGACAGCGGAGAGUAGCACAUCAGGAGUGAGUGCAGUAUGGGACAUUUUGACAUCCAGGUCCAGCAGACAGAUAAAUAUAUCCAAAGCAUGGGAGAGUUCAGAGCUAGAGACUACGGGGUUAGCUGCAGUCAGUGCCGUUCCAGCCACAAGUGUGCAUCAGACGUAGGCGGUUCUUGGAAGCAGAAUGAAAACGGUACAUAGAGGAGUAGGAAUGUUUGAGCAGCAGUAGAGAAUGUCUUACAAAGGAGAUUGGUCAUAACUUCUCAAAAGCCAAGAGCAGUAUCACGGAACUCAAGGAAGAGAGAGUUUAUGUUUGAAAUGAACGAAAUAUCAAAUGCUCCAGUAGAGGCUAGUUAAAUAUGUACUAAAACCUUGCCAAUAGCUAUGACAGUUUGGUGAUCUUUGUUGUUCUCAGGAAAAAGGGAAGGAGUGAGAGCCUAACUAGAGAGGUGCACAGGGUUGAGGAGAGGAUUUUGAUAAAAGUGAAAAAGACUGAGCAUGUUGAUGCACUGAAGGUGAUGAUAGCAGCUAACACUGAAAAUGUACUGGAUUCCAGGCCCCUUUCUAAGGGCUUUCCAUGUGUUAACUCAUUUACUCCUUACAGCAACCCUAUGAAGUAGAUACUGUUUCCCUCAUUUUACUGAGGAAAGUUAACCACAGACUGUUACAUGCCUGACAGCUGUUGAAAGAGCAGAAUGAGAAUUUGAACCCUGGGAUUCUGACACAAUAGCCCAGUUACUUACCACUGUCCCGUACUGCCUCCAUAGAAUGGUGGAGCUUGUAGAUGCGGGGAAGAGAAGUGCUAAUUAAUGGAUCCAGUUCAGAAAAGACUGGAGAGGAUAAAGUUUCUCUCCAGAAAAGACUGGAGAAGAUAGAUGGGAGUUUCGGUCUUGAAGAAGAGUAAGGAUAUUUUAUGCUUGAAGACCAGAAACCGGGGCUACAGGUGGAGAUGGCCGGAGUCAUGGUCGGCAAGAAUGUGAGGAACCCCUGAAGAGUUCAUUACCGAGUGAAUGCUCACAGGAGGAACUUCAGGUGAUAAUUUCAGCUCUUCAUGAUUGGAAUCUUCUACCCAUUCUCCAUCCUUUCCUCUGCGACUGGUGUUUCUGAAGAUAGCAUUGCUGAUAUUUAUUUGGCAAGUGUGUGGUCAACCAUCAUAGGCUUCAGCCGAGUCCUCUGAAGAACUCCCACUCCCACCUGUCCUGAUGCACCUUCUUCACAGGUUUCCUUGCAAGAAGAUGCUAGGUCUUAGUGAGAUUUGGGGACUGGGGGCGUGGGGCUCUUCACAUGGAUGAAAUGCUGGUGAAUCUCCCUUCUCCUACUACCCUGUUAAAUUUAAACUUCUUUCCCUGCAAGAGAGUGAGCAAUCCUACCUGGUACCCAGGGAAGCCUUGUGUGGGAUAUCUUCGUAGAGCAAAGUCGGUCUGUAUGUUCCCUCGCUACGGAGUCGUGGCCUUUCUCAUCAUCAAGGUCUGCACUAAAGUCUGUACUCGAGCCCAGACGGCUGAUGUGUGAGAGCAGGGGCAGGCCUCCAUGGGGCUGCUCAUCACUGUGGCCAGGAAGGAUGGUGGCACACAAAGGCAUUCCAUCGGCUUCUGAGUCUAGAUCUAUAAAUAUAUUUAUUAUAAUAUAACAAGAACUUAACAAUAAACAUAUACUAUGUACAAUACCAUUACAGAGAACCCUGUUUUAUAUCAUUCACAGAAAUAGCCAGUUUUGCUCCAGUGUGAUAAAUGAGGAGAAACGGAAUUGCAAUGUCAUCUGUGUUGAGUCUUGCUGACCGCUAACACCUCCUUUGGAGGCACACGCUCACCAGCGCUAACAUCGGCCCUGCCCCAGGCAGUUAGAAAUUUGUGCUCCAGUCCUUGGGUUCACACUUGCACCCUGUUUGACAUAAAUACUUUAAAUGACAUACAA